rnacentral:rRNA from 1 species
AACGGGGUAGGAUCACGUAGGUGACGUACCCUCAGGGCGAGGAUAGCCACGGGAAACUGUGGGUAAUACUCGAUAAUCUUCCGGAUCAAACCGGAAGCAAUGGGUGUGAUUCCACCUGAGGAGCGGCUUACGCAGUAUCAGCUAGUUGGUGAGGUAACGGCUCACCAAGGCUUUGACGCUUAGGGGGUGUGAGAGCAUGGCCCCCACCACUGGCACUGAGACACUGGCCAGACACCUACGGGUGGCUGCAGUCGAGAAUCUUCGGCAAUGGACGAAAGUCUGACCGAGCGACGCCGCGUGCGGGAUGAAGGUCUUCGGAUUGUAAACCGCUGUCAGAGGGGAUGAAGUAUACGAGAGCUAUCUCUUGUAUUUGACAGAGCCUCAGAGGAAGCACGGGCUAAGUUCGUGCCAGCAGCCGCGGUAAUACGAACUGUGCGAACGUUAUUCGGAAUCACUGGGCUUAAAGGGUGCGUAGGCGGUUUUCUAAGUCACGUGUGAAAUCUUCCGGCUCAACCGGAAAACUGCGCGUGAUACUGGAUGACUUGAGUGAGGUAGGGGUGUGUGGAACUUCCGGUGGAGCGGUGAAAUGUGUAGAGAUCGGAAGGAACGCCAGCAGCGAAAGCGGCACACUGGGCCUUUUCUGACGCUGAGGCACGAAAGCUAGGGGAGUGAACGGGAUUAGAUACCCCGGUAAUCCUAGCCGUAAACACUGAACACUGGAGGACGGGGGCUUCGGCCUUCGUUCUCGUAGCGAAAGCGUUAAGUGUUCCGCCUGGGGAGUAUGGUCGCAAGGCUGAAACUCAAAGGAAUUGACGGGGGCUCACACAAGCGGUGGAGCAUGUGGCUUAAUUCGAGGCAACGCGAAGAACCUUAUCCUGGGUUUGACAUGCAUGGAUUAACCCAAUGAAAGUUGGGCCACGCUCGCAAGAGUGGAACAUGCACAGGUGCCGCAUGGCUGUCGUCAGCUCGUGUCGUGAGAUGUCGCGUUAAGUCGCUAAACGAGCGAAACCCUUAU